UACAGAGGAGCCAAGCGUUGUCCGGAUUGACUGGGCGUAAAGCGCACGCAGGCGGAUGCGCGCGUGGGGUGUGAAAUCUGGCCGCUUAACGGCCAGGCGCCAUCCCAUACGGCGCGUCUGGAGUGAUGCAGAGGUCGGUGGAAUUGCCGGUGUAGUGGUGAAAUGCGUAGAGAUCGGCAGGAACACUCAGGGGGAAACCAGCCGACUGGGCAUCUACUGACGCUGAGGUGCGAGAGCGUGGGGAGCGAACCGG
rnacentral:rRNA from 1 species